rnacentral:rRNA from 1 species
GAUGAACGCUGACAGAAUGCUUAGCACAUGCAAGUCGACUCGAGUCUUCGGACUUGGGUGGCGCACGGGUGAGUAACGCGUAAAGAACUUGCCUCUUAGACCGGGACAACAUUUGGAAACGGAUGCUAAUACCGUAUGACAUUGCUUUUUUGCAUGAAGAAGCAAUUAAAACUCAGGUGGUGUAAGGUGGGCUCGCGUCUGAUUAGCUAGUUGGUGAGGUAUCGGCCCACCAAGGCGACGAUCAGUAGCCGGCUUGAGAGAGUGAACGGCCACACUGGAACUGAGACACGGUCCAG